rnacentral:snRNA from 1 species
GGAUGUGAGGGCGAUCUGGCUGCGACAUCUGUCACCCCAUUGAUCGCCAGGGUUGAUUCGGCUGAUCUGGCUGGCUAGGCGGGUGUCCCCUUCCUCCCUCACCGCUCCAUGUGCGUCCCUCCCGAAGCUGCGCGCUCGGUCGAAGAGGACGACCAUCCCCGCUAGAGGAGGACCGGUCUUCGGUCAAGGGUAUACGAGUAGCUGCGCUCCCCUGCUAGAACCUCCAAACAAGCUCUCAAAUAAAUAAAUUUCUAUGAAACAAAAAGAAAUGAAGGGCAGCAGGGUGGGCAGGGCCCUUGU